UAUUGUAGCUGGAACAUCGGCGUGUUUGCGGCUUCGCGGUGGUGGGCAGGUUGUCACGAUCCCUCGGUAGGUUAAGUUGGUUAACCGUUUGCGUGGCAUUCACGCUUGUUAUAACUUGCACGGUUUCUUUAUUCCAGCUGGGUUGAUUCCACUCAUCCUCCGGUAAAAUUGCUGAGAUUUGUGCUGUGAGCAACUGUAUGAUUUGUGUGUUUUGGUGACCGAUAUUUGCCGGUGGUUGUGGCAGUAGCUAUCCCGAUUACUUGACCGCUUAUUUGUUGGGUGGUGUGCGUUGAUCUGCCCUUCAGUCUUUGAACUACCGGCUGGGUGCCCCUGAGUCAGGCGGCUAGCUGCUGUAGUAUCCUGGGUGGUGGUAUUUGGAGCACAGAGUGUGGAUUGCCGUUUGUAGUCAUUCACUUCACUGUGUGUAUGUGAGUGUGCGUGUGGUUUACAA